ACUGGGCGUAAAGCGCAUGCAGGCGGCCUGUUUAAGUCAGAUGUGAAAGCCCGGGGCUUAACCUCGGAAUUGCAUUUGAAACUGGCAGGCUAGAGUCUUGUAGAGGGGGUAGAAUUUCAGGUGUAGCGGUGAAAAUGCGUAGAGAUCUGAAGGAAUACCAGUGGCGAAGGCGGCCCCCCUGGACAAAGACUGACGCUCAGAUGCGAAAGCGUGGGGAGCAAACAGGAUUAGAUACCCCUGGUAG
rnacentral:rRNA from 1 species